UCCCCUGCUUCACUUGACUGGCCUUACCCAAAGAAACAAUUUAAAAGGGUUAAGACAGUAACUUUUGUUAUGUGCAUUUUACCAAACUUUUUAAAAGUUACAAAAAUGGUAAAUUUUAAGUUAAGCAUAUUUUACCAUUUAAAGAAAAGCACACAGCCUAGAAUCACAAGGCAGACGUGGGUGGCCCCAGGCCUUUGCUGCCAUUUUUCCUUAGGGCAAACGGCUACUCUCUGCCCUCCAACUUCUGGUGACUGAUCAAGUCCUCUUCAGUCCUGCCAUUUCCGGAAGCUUCUCUGAUCUCACUUCCCUUGAGCACAUACAUGUGUGCCUCUCCCUCUCUUCCGGUAACUUGUAAGUUCCCAGAUCGCAAGAACCACACUAUCCGCCUUGCGCGGUGGGAAGAACACCGCAGGGCCACCACGUGCCAAACGGAACAGCUCUGCAUUCACACAGAGACCCAGAAUCCCAGCCUUGCCGCUUCCCAGUUGUGUCUUUACCUGUAAAUGGGCAGCCCCACCCCAGGGCGACAGAUGAGCCCAUGAGGGGCCCUAUGGGAAGCACUUUGUCACCGUGCCCAGGGAUGGCUUCAGCCCCCUCCCUUGAGGGGCCCUCAACUUGGAAAUGGGACGGUCCAUUCAUCCAAACAGACUGAUUCCGAGGUUAUUAGAUCUGGGUCACCACAUCUGCCACUGCGGAGCAUUAGGGUGACUUCCUCCCCCCACCCACCC
rnacentral:lncRNA from 1 species